rnacentral:rRNA from 1 species
AUUGAACGCUGGCGGCAUGCCUUACACAUGCAAGUCGAACGGUAACGGGCCUUCGGGUGCCGACGAGUGGCGAACGGGUGAGUAAUGUAUCGGAACGUACCUUUCAGUGGGGGAUAACGUAGCGAAAGUUACGCUAAUACCGCAUAUUCUGUGAGCAGGAAAGCAGGGGAUCGCAAGACCUUGCGCUGAUUGAGCGGCCGGUAUCAGAUUAGCUAGUUGGUGAGGUAAAGGCUCACCAAGGCGACGAUCUGUAGCGGGUCUGAGAGGAUGAUCCGCCACACUGGAACUGAGACACGGUCCAGACUCCUACGGGAGGCAGCAGUGGGGAAUUUUGGACAGUGGGGGCAACCCUGAUCCAGCCAUGCCGCGUGAGUGAAGAAGGCCUUCGGGUUGUAAAGCUCUUUCGGCCGGGAAGAAAUCGUAUCAGCUAAUACCUGGUGCGGAUGACGGUACCGGCAUAAGAAGCACCGGCUAACUACGUGCCAGCCGCCGCCGUAAGAC